rnacentral:rRNA from 1 species
GACGGAGGGUGCAAGCGUUGUUCGGAAUUACUGGGCGUAAAGGGCGCGUAGGCGGUCUGUUAAGUUCGGUGUGAAAGCCCCCGGCUCACCUGGGGAACUGCGCCGGAAACCGACAGACUCGAGUACCGGAGAGGAGGGUGGAAUUCCUGGUGUAGCGGUGAAAUGCGUAGAUAUCAGGAGGAACACCGGUGGCGAGGGCGGCCCUCUGGACGGAUACUGACGCUGAGGCGCGAAAGCGUGGGGAUCAAACAGG